rnacentral:rRNA from 1 species
CCUACGGGGGGCAGCAGUGAGGAAUAUUGGUCAAUGGGCGGGAGCCUGAACCAGCCAAGCCGCGUGAGGGAAGAAGGUACAGCGUAUCGUAAACCUCUUUUGUCAGGGAACAAAGGCGGGGACUAGUCCCCGGAUGAGGGUACCUGAAGAAAAAGCAUCGGCUAACUCCGUGCCAGCAGCCGCGGUAAUACGGAGGAUGCGAGCGUUAUCCGGAUUUAUUGGGUUUAAAGGGUGCGCAGGCGGCCUGUUAAGUCAGCGGUAAAAGCCCGGGGCUCAACCCCGGCGAGCCGUUGAAACUGGCGGGG